AAAGAGGGUAGGUGACCACCGUAGAGCUUAAAACCAAGAGGGACAGCAGAUAGCCUGCCACCGAUUCAAAGCAUCUUCUCGAUGCCUGGCCCCGAUUGAUUUAAACUAAUUGGUUUUAAGUGGCAAAGCAGGGCAAAACAAUCCUAUUCUGUGAUUAAGUAAACUGGGAAUGGUUGCUAUGCUGAACCUGACAGCAUUGAAUGGUUGGAAAGUAUCUGAAGAUCCAGUAUUGACAUUUGAAGAGGAUACACCUCUCCUUCUUAACUUCCUUUCCUCCUUAAUAAGCAGACUCAAUGAGUUGGAUUUGCAGAUUUUUUGUGGGUAGAGUAAGGUAGAGCGCAUCAGCUCAUUCUUAGGUUUGAUUCCUUGCAUGAGAUCCCUUUUCCUGGAGUGGCAAAUCCGAUUCCUAGAAGUUUCAUCUCAUCCCAUGGACAGAAAGCCAUGGCUUCUUAGUUACAUGCUGAAGACAUAGGAGGAACAUGGUCUCUCAUGCGGAGGCAGACCUGUGCACAAUCCAUGGAGACAGUCCACAAGAUGGAGAUGGAUUAAAGCCAGACCUGGUUUGUGGGUAUCCAUUCUGUAAAGCUGGGAGUAUAUGGAGAAACAUGCAGCAGACUAAAACCUCUAGAGGCCUUAUUCCAAUUCUGCUACAAGUUCACAGUGCUGAGAAUUCUGAAUUCCAACCCUCCUCUCAAAAGUGAGCCAAGCCAUCGUUUUUGGAUUGUACCAUUAUCUUCUGGGGAAAAGAAAUACUGGAAUGGCGGCUAAGCUAACGGACAGACGCAGAGCCCCCUUCAAGUGUGGAUGUUCUGAGCCGAAUGGUCUUUUGCCAUGCUGCCAUGAUUUGAAGUUGAAAUUUUCCUCUUUUGUUCUGGCCUCUAAAAGCAUGAAUGUGUUUAAUUAAAUGUGGUUAACAGUUGA